AGGCUGGGGGCAAGGGCCUUAUCUGGAAAAUAGCUCCUCUGCUUAUAGCACACCCAGAGGAAUCUGGGGGCACUGUGACGUGGGACACAAAAACACCUGCCCUCUGCCCCCAUGAACAAAUGCCUUACCCAG
ensembl:snoRNA